rnacentral:rRNA from 1 species
GACGAACGCUGGCGGCGUGCUUAACACAUGCAAGUCGAACGGAAAGGCCCUGCUUUUGUGGGGUGCUCGAGUGGCGAACGGGUGAGUAACACGUGAGUAACCUGCCCUUGACUUUGGGAUAACUUCAGGAAACUGGGGCUAAUACCGGAUAGGAGCUCCUGCUGCAUGGUGGGGGUUGGAAAGUUUCGGCGGUUGGGGAUGGACUCGCGGCUUAUCAGCUUGUUGGUGGGGUAGUGGCUUACCAAGGCUUUGACGGGUAGCCGGCCUGAGAGGGUGACCGGCCACAUUGGGACUGAGAUACGGCCCAGACUCCUACGGGAGGCAGCAGUGGGGAAUAUUGCACAAGGGGCGGAAGCCUGAUGCAGCAACGCCGCGUGCGGGAUGACGGCCUUCGGGUUGUAAACCACUUUCGCCUGUGACGAAGCGUGAGUGACGGUAAUGGGUAAAGAAGCACCGGCUAACUACGUG